rnacentral:lncRNA from 1 species
UGUUAUAAUAAAAUACAAUGUGUUACAUAUAAAACCUAAAAAGAAAAAACAUCCAAUAUAUAUAAAAAAAAUAUCCAAAAACAUAUAAAAAAGCUACUUUGGAGACCUAAGAGAAUGACAUAUCCAAAAUUAGUAAAAAAAAAUCAUCCAAAACCUAUAAGAAGAAGAAGAAAAGAAGAUUUGGCAAAGAAAAUGAUGGAAACGUCGAAAGAUUGGGCAGCAACACAACGAGAGGAUUUGGUGAGAGAGGCGGCAGUAGUGCAACAAGAGGAGUUAGAGGAGGAAGGCACGGCAUUCGGCGAGUGGAUUUGCAGGAAAAGGCACAGCCAGUAUAGCAAUGAGAGGAUUCGGAGGGGCAAAGUAGCGACGUCGCGGCGACCACGACAGAGCCAAGGCGGUUGGGAUCACACUAACAGAGGAGGCACAGGCGCAGAGGAAGCAGAGGAGAGCAAACACUGAUAGCACAGAAACGAAGCAGAUGAGCUAGUGAGGAGAAUGACGAGUGACGAUCAGCAAUAAGAGAUGUGAGAAGGAUGAAGUGGAAAGGCGCGUGUUAUUUGAGCGGAAACCUAGUUUUUUGAAAUUUAAAAACUAGAUUUUUUGAAAAGUUGGCUCCUCUUGGUUGCAUAUGGAGUUGAUUACUUAUACUUUUUCUAUCUUUUCAUCCUUUUUUCCCAUCUUUCUAAUACUAUAAUUUCACCCAUACCACCAACCAUCCACCACCACUACUGCCGCCCGCCAUCCCAUUGCUAUCGUCAUCGGUCAGCCACCCUCAACCCUAAAUUCUAAAUUUUAAAUCCAAAAUUAUAAAUUCUAAAUCCUAAAUUAUAAAUUAUAAAUUCAAUGCUGAAAUUAGUUUUUUUUUUUUUCACUUUCAAAUGUUUUUUUUCACUUUAAUUUUGGAUGUUUUGAUUGUCUUUGAAUUUUUUUUAGAAGUUCUUUCUUUUCCAUCUAUUUAUUAUCUAAUUUUCAAGUUUUUGGCUGAAUUAAUGUGGACUUCUUAAUCUUUUUCCUCUCCAAAUAAUCCUCUAUGUGAAAUGUCCCCUAUGCAACAUAAGAACAAUGAUCAUAAUAUGGACUACAAACUAUGUAAUCUGAAUCCGAUAUAUCAUGCAAUAAAAGGGACUCUUCACAUUAAGUAAUUGGCGGCUUCACCAAAUAUAAGCUUUAAUAACUCCAAAUAAGUACCGAUGCUUUUUGUGUUUGGGAUGCCCGAUAUUUCAAGUGUCAUCCUUUCAAGUAUUUCAUGCAAUGUCUUGUCUAGUUACUACAAGACAUAUUAGCUCUCAUAUAAUCAUGACUCAAUGAGCUGCUCUACCACAUUGAGGUUAUCAACUUAUCAUCACUACUCGUCUCAACCGGUUCUAUCUAAAAAGAUAUUUGGACUUCAGAAGCAUAGCAACCUUACCUAAAAGCCAUCCUCAUCAAUAGUUGUGAUUCACCUUCAAUGAUCUUCAUAAGAUUUGCAAGUAAUUUUCUUAAUUUUCCU